GACGAACGCUGGCGGCGUGCUUAACACAUGCAAGUCGAACGGAAAGGCCCUGCUUUUGUGGUGUGCUCGAGUGGCGAACGGGUGAGUAACACGUGAGUAACCUGCCCUUGACUUUGGGAUAACUUCAGGAAACUGGGGCUAAUACCGGAUAGGAGCUCCUGCUGCAUGGUGGGGGUUGGAAAGUUUCGGCGGUUGGGGAUGGACUCGCGGCUUAUCAGCUUGUUGGUGGGGUAGUGGCUUACCAAGGCUUUGACGGGUAGCCGGCCUGAGAGGGUGACCGGCCACAUUGGGACUGAGAUACGGCACAGACUGCUACGGGAGGCAGCAGUGGGGAAUAUUGCACAAUGGGCGGAAGCCUGAUGCAGCAACGCCGCGUGCGGGAUGACGGCCUUCGGGUUGUAAACCGCUUUCGCCUGUGACGAAGCGUGAGUGACGGUAAUGGGUAAAGAAGCACCGGCUAACUACGUG
rnacentral:rRNA from 1 species